GCUACAAGAGUGCCAUGAGAAUGCCUGUUCUCACUUUCAGGAUUGAGUGGACUUGCAGGCUCUAAAAUUUUACAUUAUUUUAUUUUUGAAUGCAGGUUUUUUGGUAUAUAAUUCUAGAUUUGUAGGUUCAACUUUCAUGAUAAAGAGAUUGCACUACAGUACUUGUAUUAAAUGAAUUG